UUGUAACUUUCAGUAGCUCUCUAAGGCCUGGGUGCAGGAGGGAGGGAGGCGGCGGAGGUGGGGAAAUGGGUACCCCUAGUCUUUCCACCCUCCUCAUUCGUGCAGGGCAACGGGAUCCCUUAAUUCUUUCCCCCAACAUGCAGGAUUUUGCGGGGUCCCCGCACCCUCUUCUGUCCUGGCCGCCGCUCCAGAGCAGGAGAGCCUCCCAGAUGGACACUCCAUUUCCCAGCUGCCAUCAGAGCCUUAAGACAUUGGCAAACAUAAAAGGUAUCCAAGGCUGGGCUUAUUAUUACAGGAGAAAAAAUUUGUGAGGCUAGAACCCGAGUGUCCUGCUCAAUUUUAUGUGAUGAAAUUUAUGUAUGGCUUACUGCAGACCAUGGACCCUGUUAAAUAUUUCAUGGUGAUGAACUCAUCUGUUUUCCACCACCAUAUGAGGGCUCCAGCCGGGAAUACCACAGACGGUUUGCCAUGGAUCGAGACUUCUCCGGAGAAAGCGCACAGGAGGGCUGCUGUGAGCAAUGAAGGAACUUGCUGUUUCCCUGAUUCCCUCAUCAAGAGGAGCCCAAUGAAGUCACUGCACGUUUGAACGGGUGCUAUCCAAGCGCAGCUGCUGGCCAGUUCAGAGGGCUAGGGCGGCCAGUGACUGAACGGCUGCACGGAAAAUCUGAGGUGGCGCAUGAUGGAAAUAAAACUCCUGUAGGAGCUGUGUGAUUCACUCAUCAGUGCUCCCAGAUGUGGGCCCAGCGUGUGCACGUGAACAGUGAAUAGGCUUGUUCAUCCAUUUACUUGUUAGCCCUUUAUUUAUUCAAUAAGUUCUGAUUAUGUACCUAAGAGGCACCACGCUGGGUGUCCUGGAUGGACAAGACCAGAUUCCCACCCUGCAGGGGCCACGGUCUAGAGAGGGGAGGCAGGAGCAAGGUGACAGUGAUUUGUACCAAGUGCUGAGGUGGGAGAGGCAUCUUGUAUCUCCAUUUGAUGUCACUACCUCCAAAGCCGUGCUCCUCAUUGCCCCUCCUCGUGCUCAGUGCAGCCCCCUUUCCUCCAGCUUCUUUCUGCCUGGAUCCCAUCUUCCUUAUGAGCUGGGUCACUGUUUGGCUGCCGGCAGCGACAAAUGCGGCAAUAAAGCUGCAGAAAUAAGGCUCUCAGUUCUAAGGGAAUCCCGGGUGGAGUGGGCCGGGUGAUUUGGUUUGCUGCCUCUGUUCUCUGGGCGUCCCUGGCCCUGGAGGCUGCCCUACGCAGACUGCAUCACCUGGGCUCCUGAAUUCUCCUUCGUGGUCGGACUUGGCCGGCAGGGGUCCUGGCAGGGAAGGGAGAGAAUAGCCAAGGUAUUCGGUUCCUUGUCUCUUGCCCACCUCCUCCCUUGUCUGCCUAAAGUCCUAGCAGGGGUUGUGUUUCCCCAGUGGCUCCAGCUUGGCUGGGUGGCCGCUCUCCCCAACCCCAGUUUUACUGGCAUCGUUUCUACCCUUACUGAUUCCCUGAAUACUAUCUAUGCCUUGAAAAUUGUCAUGUCAUUAAA